GGGUUGUGAGGUUAAGCGACUAAGCGUACACGGUGGAUGCCCUGGCAGUCAGAGGCGAUGAAGGACGUGCUAAUCUGCGAUAAGCGUCGGUAAGGUGAUAUGAACCGUUAUAACCGGCGAUUUCCGAAUGGGGAAACCCAGUGUGUUUCGACACACUAUCAUUAACUGAAUCCAUAGGUUAAUGAGGCGAACCGGGGGAACUGAAACAUCUAAGUACCCCGAGGAAAAGAAAUCAACCGAGAUUCCCCCAGUAGCGGCGAGCGAACGGGGAGCAGCCCAGAGCCUGAAUCAGUGUGUGUGUUAGUGGAAGCGUCUGGAAAGGCGCGCGAUACAGGGUGACAGCCCCGUACACAAAAAUGCACAUGCUGUGAGCUCGAUGAGUAGGGCGGGACACGUGGUAUCCUGUCUGAAUAUGGGGGGACCAUCCUCCAAGGCUAAAUACUCCUGACUGACCGAUAGUGAACCAGUACCGUGAGGGAAAGGCGAAAAGAACCCCGGCGAGGGGAGUGAAAAAGAACCUGAAACCGUGUACGUACAAGCAGUGGGAGCCUCUUUAUGGGGUGACUGCGUACCUUUUGUAUAAUGGGUCAGCGACUUAUAUUCUGUAGCAAGGUUAACCGAAUAGGGGAGCCGAAGGGAAACCGAGUCUUAACUGGGCGUUAAGUUGCAGGGUAUAGACCCGAAACCCGGUGAUCUAGCCAUGGGCAGGUUGAAGGUUGGGUAACACUAACUGGAGGACCGAACCGACUAAUGUUGAAAAAUUAGCGGAUGACUUGUGGCUGGGGGUGAAAGGCCAAUCAAACCGGGAGAUAGCUGGUUCUCCCCGAAAGCUAUUUAGGUAGCGCCUCGUGAAUUCAUCUCCGGGGGUAGAGCACUGUUUCGGCAAGGGGGUCAUCCCGACUUACCAACCCGAUGCAAACUGCGAAUACCGGAGAAUGUUAUCACGGGAGACACACGGCGGGUGCUAACGUCCGUCGUGAAGAGGGAAACAACCCAGACCGCCAGCUAAGGUCCCAAAGUCAUGGUUAAGUGGGAAACGAUGUGGGAAGGCCCAGACAGCCAGGAUGUUGGCUUAGAAGCAGCCAUCAUUUAAAGAAAGCGUAAUAGCUCACUGGUCGAGUCGGCCUGCGCGGAAGAUGUAACGGGGCUAAACCAUGCACCGAAGCUGCGGCAGCGACGCUUAUGCGUUGUUGGGUAGGGGAGCGUUCUGUAAGCCUGUGAAGGUGUGCUGUGAGGCAUGCUGGAGGUAUCAGAAGUGCGAAUGCUGACAUAAGUAACGAUAAAGCGGGUGAAAAGCCCGCUCGCCGGAAGACCAAGGGUUCCUGUCCAACGUUAAUCGGGGCAGGGUGAGUCGACCCCUAAGGCGAGGCCGAAAGGCGUAGUCGAUGGGAAACAGGUUAAUAUUCCUGUACUUGGUGUUACUGCGAAGGGGGGACGGAGAAGGCUAUGUUGGCCGGGCGACGGUUGUCCCGGUUUAAGCGUGUAGGCUGGUUUUCCAGGCAAAUCCGGAAAAUCAAGGCUGAGGCGUGAUGACGAGGCACUACGGUGCUGAAGCAACAAAUGCCCUGCUUCCAGGAAAAGCCUCUAAGCAUCAGGUAACAUCAAAUCGUACCCCAAACCGACACAGGUGGUCAGGUAGAGAAUACCAAGGCGCUUGAGAGAACUCGGGUGAAGGAACUAGGCAAAAUGGUGCCGUAACUUCGGGAGAAGGCACGCUGAUAUGUAGGUGAAGUCCCUCGCGGAUGGAGCUGAAAUCAGUCGAAGAUACCAGCUGGCUGCAACUGUUUAUUAAAAACACAGCACUGUGCAAACACGAAAGUGGACGUAUACGGUGUGACGCCUGCCCGGUGCCGGAAGGUUAAUUGAUGGGGUCAGCGCAAGCGAAGCUCUUGAUCGAAGCCCCGGUAAACGGCGGCCGUAACUAUAACGGUCCUAAGGUAGCGAAAUUCCUUGUCGGGUAAGUUCCGACCUGCACGAAUGGCGUAAUGAUGGCCAGGCUGUCUCCACCCGAGACUCAGUGAAAUUGAACUCGCUGUGAAGAUGCAGUGUACCCGCGGCAAGACGGAAAGACCCCGUGAACCUUUACUAUAGCUUGACACUGAACAUUGAGCCUUGAUGUGUAGGAUAGGUGGGAGGCUUUGAAGUGUGGACGCCAGUCUGCAUGGAGCCGACCUUGAAAUACCACCCUUUAAUGUUUGAUGUUCUAACGUUGACCCGUGAUCCGGGUUGCGGACAGUGUCUGGUGGGUAGUUUGACUGGGGCGGUCUCCUCCUAAAGAGUAACGGAGGAGCACGAAGGUUGGCUAAUCCUGGUCGGACAUCAGGAGGUUAGUGCAAUGGCAUAAGCCAGCUUGACUGCGAGCGUGACGGCGCGAGCAGGUGCGAAAGCAGGUCAUAGUGAUCCGGUGGUUCUGAAUGGAAGGGCCAUCGCUCAACGGAUAAAAGGUACUCCGGGGAUAACAGGCUGAUACCGCCCAAGAGUUCAUAUCGACGGCGGUGUUUGGCACCUCGAUGUCGGCUCAUCACAUCCUGGGGCUGAAGUAGGUCCCAAGGGUAUGGCUGUUCGCCAUUUAAAGUGGUACGCGAGCUGGGUUUAGAACGUCGUGAGACAGUUCGGUCCCUAUCUGCCGUGGGCGCUGGAGAACUGAGGGGGGCUGCUCCUAGUACGAGAGGACCGGAGUGGACGCAUCACUGGUGUUCGGGUUGUCAUGCCAAUGGCACUGCCCGGUAGCUAAAUGCGGAAGAGAUAAGUGCUGAAAGCAUCUAAGCACGAAACUUGCCCCGAGAUGAGUUCUCCCUGACUCCUUGAGGAGUCCUGAAGGAACGUUGAAGACGACGACGUUGAUAGGCCGGGUGUGUAAGCGCAGCGAUGCGUUGAGCUAACCGGUACUAAUGAACCGUGAGGCUUAACCUUACAACGCCGAAG
rnacentral:rRNA from 1 species